rnacentral:rRNA from 1 species
UACAGAGGUCCCGAGCGUUGUUCGGAUUCACUGGGCGUAAAGGGUGCGUAGGUGGCGAGGUAAGUCGGAUGUGAAAGCUCGGAGCUCAACUCCGAAAUGGCAUUGGAAACUACCUUGCUCGAGGGUUGAAGGGGGGACUGGAAUACUUGGUGUAGCAGUGAAAUGCGUAGAUAUCAAGUGGAACACCAGUGGCGAAGGCGAGUCCCUGGACAACUCCUGACACUGAGGCACGAAAGCUAGGGGAGCAAACAGG